rnacentral:tRNA from 1 species
GCCGCCGUAGCAAAGAGGUAUUGCGUCGAUCUCCAAAAUCGCAGUUGCUUUGCAACUCAAGGGUUCGAAUCCCUUCGGCGGCGC